UACAGAGGAGCCAAGCGUUGUCCGGAUUGACUGGGCGUAAAGCGCACGCAGGCGGUUGCGCGCGUGGGGUGUGAAAUCUGGCCGCUUAACGGCCAGGCGCCAUCCCAUACGGCGCGACUGGAGUGAUGCAGAGGUCGAUGGAAUUGCCGGUGUAGUGGUGAAAUGCGUAGAGAUCGGCAGGAACACCUAGGGGGAAACCAGUCGACUGGGCAUCUACUGACGCUGAGGUGCGAGAGCGUGGGGAGCGAACCGG
rnacentral:rRNA from 1 species